CGGGACUGGCGGGGCUCGAACCCGCAGCUUCCGC
rnacentral:tRNA from 1 species